UACGAAGGGGCUAGCGUUGCUCGGAAUCACUGGGCGUAAAGGGUGCGUAGGCGGGUCUUUUAAGUCAGGGGUGAAAUCCUGGAGCUCAACUCCAGAACUGCCUUUGAUACUGAGGAUCUUGAGUUCGGGAGAGGUGAGUGGAACUGCGAGUGUAGAGGUGAAAUUCGUAGAUAUCGGGAGGAACACCAGCGGCGAAGGCGGCCUUCUGGACGGUGACUGACGCUGAGACGGCGAAAGGCGUGGGGAGCAAACAGGG
rnacentral:rRNA from 1 species